rnacentral:misc_RNA from 1 species
GAUGAAGAACGUAGCGAAAUGCGAUAAGUAAUGUGAAUUGCAGAAUUCAGUGAAUCAUCGAAUCUUUGAACGCACAUUGCGGCCGCCAGCACUCUGGCGGGCAUGCCUGUUCGAGCGUCAUUUCAACCAUCAAGCCCCCAGGGGCUUGUGCUGGGGCCCUGCGGCUGCCCGCAGGCCCUGAAAACCAGUGGCGGGCUCGCUAGUCACACCGAGCGCAGUAGCACAUCUCGCUCAGGACGUGCGGCGGGCUCCUGCCGUGAAACCCCCCACUGUAACCCCAAAGGUUGACCUCGGAUCAGGUAGGAAUACCCGCUGAACUUAAGCAUAUCAAUAAGCGGAGGA